UUUGGGCUAGGGGGUCAUCCCGACUUACCAAACCCAUGCAAACUCCGAAUACCGAGAAGUGCAAUUACGGGAGACACACGGCGGGUGAUAACGUCCGUCGUGGAAAGGGAAACAACCCAGACCAUCAGCUAAGGUCCCAAAAUUAUGGCUCAGUGGAAAACGAUGUGGGAAGGCCCAGACAGCUAGGAGGUUGGCUUAGAAGCAGCCAUCCUUUAAAGAAAGCGUAAUAGCUCACUAGUCGAGUCGGCCUGCGCGGAAGAUGUACCGGGGCUUAAGCCAUAUACCGAAGCUAUGGAUGCGUGUUUACACGCAUGGUAGAGGAGCGUUGUGUAAGUCUGUGAAGGUGUCCUGAGAGGGAUGCUGGAGAUAUCACAAGUGCGAAUGCUGACAUGAGUAACGAUAAAGGGGGUGAGAGGCCCCCUCGCCGAAAAUCCAAGGUUUCCUGCUCAACGUUAAUCGGAGCAGGGUGAGUCGGCCCCUAAGGCGAGGCAGAAAUGCGUAGUCGAUGGGAAACAGGUUAAUAUUCCUGUACUCGGUGUUACUGCGAAGGGGGGACGGAGAAGGCUAUGUUAGCCGGGCGACGGUUGUCCCGGUUUAAGCAUGUAGGCGGGAAGUUUAGGUAAAUCCGGACUUCUUUUAACGCUGAGGUGUGAUGACGAGGCACUACGGUGCUGAAGUGACAAAUGCCCUGCUUCCAGGAAAAGCCUCUAAGCAUCAGGUAACACAGAAUCGUACCCCAAACCGAC
rnacentral:rRNA from 1 species